UGGGGAAUAUUGGACAAUGGGCGCAAGCCUGAUCCAGCCAUGCCGCGUGAGUGAUGAAGGCCCUAGGGUUGUAAAGCUCUUUCACCGGUGAAGAUAAUGACGGUAACCGGAGAAGAAGCCCCGGCUAACUUCGUGCCAGCAGCCGCGGUAAUACGAAGGGGGCUAGCGUUGUUCGGAUUUACUGGGCGUAAAGCGCACGUAGGCGGACUUUUAAGUCAGGGGUGAAAUCCCGGGGCUCAACCCCGGAACUGCCUUUGAUACUGGAAGUCUUGGGUAUGGUAGAGGUGAGUGGAAUUCCGAGUGUAGAGGUGAAAUUCGUAGAUAUUCGGAGGAACACCAGUGGCGAAGGCGGCUCACUGGACCAUUACUGACGCUGAGGUGCGAAAGCGUGGGGAGCAAACAGG
rnacentral:rRNA from 1 species